GUCCCUUGAACCCACAAGAAAAGCAAAGAAGAAAAAAUAACAACCUCUGCUUGUACUGUGGAGCCGCUCAACACACUGUCAAGGACUGUCCUCUUCUGAUUCGUCAAAGGAAGGUGGGAGAACCAUCGGCUAACCAGUCAAGCGAUUAUUGAUUCUGGAGCAAGCGCUAAUUAUAUUGAUUCACAUUUUGUCACUGUAAAUAAAAUUCCACUAAUCAAAAAGCAGAA